AGCAGUGUAGUAUAGUGGUAAGGAGCAGGGCUUGAAACCAUAAGGUUGCUGGUUCGAUUUCCUGCUUGAACACUGCUG